GAUCAUGGCUCAGGAUGAACGCUAGCGGCAGGCUUAACACAUGCAAGUCGAGGGGUAGAGUUCUUCGGAACUUGAGACCGGCGCACGGGUGCGUAACGCGUAUGCAAUCUACCUUAUACAGGGGAAUAGCCCAGAGAAAUUUGGAUUAAUGCCCCAUAGUGUUAUCGAAUCGCAUGGUUUGAUAACUAAAGUUCCAACGGUAUAAGAUGAGCAUGCGUCCCAUUAGUUAGUUGGUAAGGUAACGGCUUACCAAGACAAUGAUGGGUAGGGGUCCUGAGAGGGAGAUCCCCCACACUGGUACUGAGACACGGACCAGACUCCUACGGGAGGCAGCAGUGAGGAAUAUUGGUCAAUGGGCGCAAGCCUGAACCAGCCAUGCCGCGUGCAGGAAGACGGUCCUAUGGAUUGUAAACUGCUUUUAUACAGGAAGAAACACCUCCACGUGUGGAGGCUUGACGGUACUGUAGGAAUAAGGAUCGGCUAACUCCGUG
rnacentral:rRNA from 1 species